CGGAGAAGCUGGGCGUUCCUCCCGACCCGUCCCUCGGAGCCCCCUGGAAGAGUUGGGUUGUGAGCGCUCUGGGAGGGCGGCGUGGCCGAAGUAAGUUGCUUUGCAAGCCUCCAAAAGUGUUCCGGAUUAAACAAACCACGGUGAGAGUUUCUUCUGGUUUAGGAGGAGAUUGGCAUAGUUCAGAGGGUGCCUCCUGGGGCCCAGGGCUGUUGACUGGGCGGGAGGAGCCCCCUCUGCCCCGUGGGCCUCUGGCUGGCUGCUGGGCGAAUCGGCCGCGGGACGCCGGGCCUUUGGGCUCCUUCGCUGCUCUGCCAAAUAAUGCGGCCUCUUGCAUUUUGCGCAGUGAUCCUUGUGUGAAAGGGAAAGGAUUCUUACCAGCAUUCAAACAAAAACUGUUAAAAAGUUUAGACUUCACAUUUUCCCAUAAUGAAUUGAUGCAAAAUCAGGUGGGUGUGGAACAGCAAUUGCUUGGGCAAGUUUUAUUUGUAGCCUAAAACAGCUAUUAUUACAAAAUAUCAACAUACAUUGGCAAAAUGAUAUACACUUAAAAGAUAACUUUUUGUACUUUUGAGAAGCGUUGAAUGCUGUUUGCUAUAUUUUGACUGUAGAUACAAGGGUCAGUUCACACAUAGCUGAAGCCUUCGUUUGCUGAACAAGCCUUGUGGCCUGAUUCACACAUUGCACUGAGCCAUUAACCAUGGCUUACAAAUCACAGUGGCUGAGGCUAACCUUAAACCGAACAAACAUCAUGGUGGUUUAGUGCAGAUGUUCGAAAGCAGCUAUAUCUUUGCUCUGUGCAAGACAGAAUGAUUCGAGGGAGGGAGGGUGAUUGGGGCACUUUUGCUGAUCUGCAUUUCCUUCCAGCUUCCUUGAUGCCACCUAUCUCUGCAAUUUGCUUCUCACUGGUGGCACCUUCACCUGAUGGCCCGAGAGGUUCAUUCUGCUGGAGUUUUUGGGAAGGACACUCAUUUGGGGGAAACUGCAGCAAAGGACAGCUUUGUAUUCUGUGUAGUAACUUACUCUCUCUUUACUCACAGACAUUGAAUCCAAAGUGGAAUGAAGAAUUUGCAUUUCGGGUAAAUGGCUUUGUGGUACAGUAUAUUGAUGUAUCAGAUUAAACAAAGUAAUCUGACAUAGGGUAAGACACACUGUUUUAAGUUAAUGAUGAUGAUGAUAAUAACUUAAUAAAUUUAUAUGCUGCCCAACUCCCAGUGAGUCCAGUCUAGCAUAGGGGUGGAAUCAUUUUGCAACCCUGAGGGCUGGGGCCAAAAAACCGUCCCCUUUUUGCAUUGCACUUUCUGGAAUGGAGUGAAGGACAAGGGCAAAAUAAAUGCUUUAAAUCUUUCAGAAAUUUCAGAUAUCCAUUUCAUCCCUUAAAACUCUGUAAGAUGUGCCACCACCCCCCCACCCUCACCCCCAUGGUUUCUAACCCAUCCGCUUUUGGAAAAAGAUCCUUGACAUCCUGCAUAAAGCCUGGUGCUGCCCUCAGAUGGAUGGAAAUUGCACAUUCCCUGUCUGGUGCAAAACACAUUUUUACUAGUUAAUUCUGCUUUUCUUCAAAACAAAGUAACUAGAUUGUACCGUUUGUUUUAGAUUAUUCCUGAGAAGCAUUGGCUUCUCUUUGAAGUAUUUGAUGAAAACUGCCUGAGAAUCCGACUACCGAGAGGCCAUACACCUUGAAGGACUUCACCUUCAUCCAAGAAAGCCUGGAAGGAUUAUCUUGGACCAGCCAGAUGCAACCUGCCAACUGCAGGAGCAAGAGUCUUCUCUGUCUCAAGGCUGGGAAGAAAGACAGGAUGUCCUGGGCAGGACCUACUGUGUCCACCAUGAAGUCAGAAGGUCCCAGUGGAAAAGGGCAACCCCACAAGAUUGUGAACCAGAUGUUGAAGGAGGCUGUGUUCACCUGGAGGUUCAGCAUGCUUCGGCCCAUCAACAUGAAAUAAUGGAGGACGCUGAGAGUUUUGACAGCAGAGACUCUCCUGAGGUGAGAAUCACACAUCAUGGAGCUAGUUGCUGCAUCAAAGGCGCUCAGCCCUGGCAUCCUCAUGCGGCUUUCCCGUUUCUGUGCAAAGGGUUGGGAGAUUAUCGCAGAAGAUGAAGUGACCAUGCAUAGCAUGCUGUGCAGCAGGGCGGCCCCGUAGAAACCUGUUCUGCAGCAGAGCUGACUUUCUCUGGAAACCCAGUUCCUGGUCAGCACCUUCAUCCGCUGUAAGAAUGACCAUUGUCACACUAGGGCCUAUGAUGUGCUUCUGAUCCCCCACCUACGCACACAAAGUCUCUCAGCUGCAGUCCUGAUCAAAAGUAGUUGCUCUGCCCUUGGAGCUGAACCCUAGAUGCUGAGGGCAGCAAUGAAGUGGAAUUCUGAGUCCGGGAGCACUUCAGACCCAGAGCUCCCCCAGUAACAAAGCUAAGAGGAGAUCCCACCCAAGGCUGAGCCACACAGCGUACCUCCCACCCACCUGAGUCAGCAGACCUAUUAGCCGAAGCGUGACUAGUUAUUUUGUGGUCUUAAAAUGCUUCUUCCCAGUUAAGAUAAUAGAAUUUUAUAAUAAUAACAAUAACAGCAACAAUAACAACUUCUGGAGCACCCCUGGAAUACCAUCGGCCUUGACAAAAUCGCCAUCAGUCAAGUGCAAAAGACAGCUUUCCUUGGAACAGCUUCCCUCCUGCAACGAUCCCUUUAACCCCAUCACACAACAACAUCUGCCCAUCCCAGGUCCUUGGGAAGGACUCGAGAGGGGGACAGAAAUGCCAAAUCCAGUCUAAACAUCUGGCUGACUGUGCGACCAACCCUAAUAAAAACGGCGAACACAUUUGUUGCCUUUUCAA